AAGUUGUUAGCAACCAAAGUGAUCCGAUAGUCCUAACAUAAUAAGGAUUAUGGAGUCUUAUCCCUUGCAAUUAACCUAGAGGAAAUCUGAUAGAUUUUAUUACGAAGAUGUAGAAUCAUGGUGGGACUUAAACACUAGAGAGAUAGGGUCAAUCUUCACAGCCAAUGAUAGGUCGGCUGUGUUAAAAACCCUAACGAUAUAAAUACCACGGUUAAGUCCCUACUUCCAUACGCUUGUACUCUUAAUCACGCCAAA
rnacentral:lncRNA from 1 species